UACAGAGGGGGCAAGCGUUAUUCGGAAUUAUUGGGCGUAAAGGGCGCGUAGGCGGCAGGAUAAGUCUGACGUGAAAUCCCUCGGCCUAACCGAGGAACUGCGUUUGAAACUGUCCAGCUCGAGUCCGGGAGAGGGUAGUGGAAUUCCCAGUGUAGCGGUGAAAUGCGUAGAUAUUGGGAGGAACACCGGUGGCGAAGGCGGCUACCUGGACCGGUACUGACGCUGAGGCGCGAAAGCCAGGGGAGCAAACAGG
rnacentral:rRNA from 1 species